AAACAGGAGACAGUAAAAACACUCCAGUUUUGUAAGUGGAAUAACAUUAUUCAGAAAAUUAAGUUAAAAAGUGCUUUAGAGCUGGAUAACCAAAAAGAGUAAUAAAACAGACAUUUGUUAUCUUCAUUUUUUGGGCUGAGUUUUGUCCACCAGGGCUCCCAGUGUCAGUCAGAACAGUCAGAACUUUCUAGCCUACUGUUUUUGUGCUGGCUGUACUCUUCCCAAAAAUCGGGAGAAGAGCAUGGACAUCAUCUCCAUCCUCACACCUAUUGCCAGGGGCAUGGGAAUCCAGGUGCACGCUGCAGAAAGGGGCAUCUGUCUGCUCCAGCACCACGCUGCCUGGGGCAUGAGGCAAAAUGGAAAAAUAUCUGCUAUAAAAUGAAGGGACAGCUCUAAUCAACUAACCCCAGACCAGUUCUCUUGGUGGAAUGCUGUUUUACAGACUCAUGGAAAAUUCACUGUGCUGGAAGUGUGAAAUGUGUGGAAGAGAGACCAACAGAGCAUUUCAAAUGCUCACUAUGGAGCAAAUGCUGAUACUUGUGCAAUCAGAAUUCACCAAUGAAACACCUGUGUAUAUUCCUACUGGACUAUAGAACAUGGAGGAAGGCUGCCACUGCUGGUCUCUUCUGCUGGUUUAAUUGUUCACAACAUUGAUAAAAUAACCUGUCAUGAACAAGGAGCAUGAAAGCAACUGAUGGGCAGUCAGAGAGCACCAACCACCAUGGAGAGUUUACACUUUGUAAAUUGCAAGGAUACAUCAAAGAGAAGAAAGACAGCAAAAUUAAUUGCAGCAAUUUCCUUCAACCACUACAACAAGAAGACUGUUUCAGCAGCUGUGUGGGAGUGUCAUCAUAAGACAGAGCACAGGAAUACUUUACAGGGAAAGCAAGACACUGGAAUGCAGCUGGCAAUUUGUAUUAAUCCUCUUGUCCACGGAGACCUAGUAUAACAUCUGUUUGGAUGUUCAGUACCUGGAUGGUUCCUGCUAUCAUAUAUUUUUCAAGGACCUGUGUGGUGGUUUUUGAAUGGAGUUUUCUGCAUUGAAAUCUGUAAAACUGAAACCUCAAUAUAGGCAACAGCUGGCUUCCUAAAUUAUUGUACUACUCUUUGACACCAGUAUUUCAACAAAAAAAAAAAAGACUGUUUUCUGCUUGUGUACCACUUUCUUCUGCAAAGCACCACCUACUUAUGCUUCUUCAAUUAACCAACCUAUGCUUCUUCAAUUAACUGAUGUGUAUCUGUGAUCCUUGGUUUGUUCCCUCAUGCCCUAACAUCGUCCAUGAUCUAUAGUAUGAAAAGUCACCCAUUUUAUAAUCAGAAGGGUCAACCAAGGUGUCUUAGUCUCUUGUCCUGCAUAUCUCUAGCCACAUUUUAGAGUGGGAAUAGCUGUGUUGUCUGUCACACUCUCUAAAAGCAAGUGGAACAGUUUAGCACUUUCUUGCAAGACAAAACUUGCAUGCUCUCUUGUAGUUUUUAAAUGUAAAGUGCUUUUGUUUCCCAUGUGAAUAUUUUGAAUUGCUGAAAGGCUCAGUUCUGAGGUAGGAGUAAUGUGAGUAUUCAGAUGAAAUAUUCACUAAACACUUGCAACAUGUAAUGAUGUUUAAUUUUUUGUUGUUGUUGCUUGAUAUUGAACAACAGUCAUAUUCCAGAGGAAGUAAAACAAUACUAAAGGUGAUAAUACAGGGUAUAUUAAGAACAGUUUCUAAAAGCCAGGAAUUCUAUCUGGGAAGUGGGAAGAGUUUUGAAUUUGACAGAAGAAAAACAAAUGACCAUUUAUAAAAUCAGAUAAGAGUCAGCUCUCUGCUCUCUGGCAAUGUGUGUUGCCCAACUCCAGAAAUGUUUUCAAUAUUGCCUAGAUUGACACAUCAUACAUCAGCUUGGAAUAUAUAGUUCAGAUGAUUUCAGAAAAUCAGUCUCAGAGAAGAACUAUCAGAGUCCACUGUUACAAUGGAAGCUGAUACUGAAUCAGGCUCCACAGUGUCUGUCCAGAAUCCAGUUAUAUGUAGUGUUUUCAUCACAAAUGGGUUGUGAUCUGAAGUAUUUCUUUUAUUAAUUGUUAAUCAUUUGUAGAUGACAUUUAUAUGUGCUAGAAGAACUGAGAAAAGCCAGACUACUCUGCU